ACACACACACACACACACUUAGAUAAAAAAAUAAAUCUCUAGUAGAAGAAACAUGGAUCCUUUCCCCUGUGAUAGACAUAAUUUACAAACCAAAAGAAGAGAAAACAUUUACCUAUAUCGUGACACCCUGUAUCAGUCACAUUUUUUCUCCUGUGGUAAAACUCCACGACUGAGAACAACUUAUGGAAGAGUUUGUUUAGCUUAUGGUUCCAGAGGACUAGGAACUCACUGUAGUGGAGAGGCAUGGCAGCAAGCAGCAGUCACGGUGGCAGGAGCAAGAAGCUGAGAGCUCACAUCUCAACCACAAGCACACAGCAUACAUGGCUUGAGGCUCUUAGCUCUCAAAUCUUGCUCCCAGUGACAUAGUUCCUCCAUUAAGGCUGGGGACUGAGCGUCCUAAUACUGGAGCCUGUGGGGGGAACUUUCUCAUCCAAACCACCACACAUACCCACCGAGAGUAGAAUUAUAUGUCAUUCAGAUUCUAAGAGAAUAUUACUGUGUUUAAAAGUGUAGUGCAAGCCAUGUGGUGGGGAACAGUAGUUAAAGUGCAUUAGGAUGGUCUUCUUCUAUGUACUGAUAUUAUUAUUCUAAUGCCACAGAAGGAGCACUGGGUGAAGUUGACCUCACAGAGCACUGAAUUCCCCGAUGUAAAAAAGCAGUAAUAAAAUCUUCCCUUCUGGGUGAAUGCUGCUGUGUGCCACAGUAGUGUGCAUACUGUUCCAGGAAAAGAAUGUGUAGUCAGUAAAUGCUGGCUCUACUUCAGAGAUUUUGCCCUCUACCAAUGACUCUCAUAAACAUAAUUGCCCCUGGUAAGUUAUAUAUGUGCCAUGUGUCAAUCAUCAUGCAUAUAUGGUAUUCAAAGUCAAGCAUUCAUUGCUUUAUUCUAUCUUAAACUUAUUGGGAAACAUAAACAUUUCAGAUUAACAUUCUGAUAAACAAUUUUGACUUAGAGAAAGAGAAAGCGAGCAGGGCCUUGUAGAACAAGCAAGUGGGCCACUGGGCUAGCGGAGGGAGUUCACAAGGGAAAUGAGUUACAAUCCAAGCCUUUGUCAAACACCCAGAAGCUUACAGCUCAAUGAAAGGAAUAGCUCAGGCUGCACAAAGAGUCAUGGGAAUGGUGACACAGAGUUAGGACUGAAGAGUAUACACAUGAAGUUCCGAGGGGAGGCUUCAUUCGAGUUUGAUAGAAAGGAAAUUUGACAGACAUGUAAAGAGGCAAAACCUUGGGAAAGUUUCAACAAGCACAGGGAUGGGAAAGAACACCAAUCCAAGGGGAAAAGCAAGUCCAAGGGGCAUUGACCAGCACCAUCUAGACUAAGACAAUGGGAGAACCAGUGUGCUAAGGAUCACAGUUGCCUAGGUGGGUUCUGAAGUUCCCUGCCAUGGUACACAUGAAAAUGGGAAGCUGUAAGCUGCCCAAGGCCCUAGGUGUGCAAAAAUACUCAGUGACCUUCAGCGGAUGCACUUCAUAGAGCCAUAGCCACCCUGACCCCAUGGACACUGUCCCAUUCCCACUCCGGAGAUGUCUCAUAGACAUUCAGCAGCAGCUUACUCGAGGCUACGCACAGUGCUCUUCUUGUUGUCUCAGUGGCUUUCCACAGCAGUGAAGUGACUAGCAUCAGUGCUGCCAUUCCCAUGUCACGCGUGAAGCAACUGGCCAAGCAAACUGCUCAGGGCCUCACUGCAGCUCCUCACUGCUGCAUUAUGGCUUUGAUGAAUGCUGCUGAAAGCAAAAGAACAUUUCACAUUGAGCACAGAAGGUCAAAAAGUGCCUGAAAUACAGGGACAAAGUGUGGAGUAGAGACUGAAGGAACAGACAUCCAGAGACUGCCCCACCUGGGGAUCCAUUCCAUAUACAGACACCAAACCCAGACACUAUUGUGGAUGCAAAGAAGUGCUUGCUGACAGAAGCCUGAUAUAGCUGCCUCCUGAGAGGCUCUGCCAGAGCCUGAAAAAUACAGAUGCAGAUGCUCGCAGCCAACCACUGGACUGAGCACAGGGACCCCAAUGGAGGAGAUAGGGAAAGGGCUGAAGGAGCUGAAGGGGUUUGCAACCCCACUGGAAGAACAACAAUAUCGACCAACCAGAUCCCCCCACACUCCAGAGCUUCCAGGGACUAAACCACCAACCAAAGAGAACACAUGGAGGGACUCAUGGCUCCAGCUGCAUAUGUAGCCUUAUGUGGCAUCAAAAGGAGGAGAGGCCCUUGGUCCUGUGAAGGCUCAAUGCCCCAGUGUAGUCGAAUGCCAGGGCGGUGAGUUGGGAGUGGUGGGUCGGUGGGAGAGCACCCUCAUAGAAGCAGGGUGAAAGGGAUGGAAUAGUAGUUUUGUGGAGAGGAAACUGGGAAGAAGGAUAACAUUUGAAAUGUAAAUAAAACAUUCAGUGAAAAAUUACUUUUAAAAGAGCAGAAAUAUGUCAGUACCACACACCCACUAAACCAUUGACAACACAAAAGGCAUGGAGCAACAGGGGCUCUCAUUCAUUGGUGGUGGGAAUGCAAAAUGGAAAAGACUUGGAAGGCAGUUGAGCGUCUUUGUAAGGUCCUAGAUGUACUCUCUCUGUGGCUCAGCAGCCAACCUCUUCUUUUUCUUGUUGUUGUUGUUGUU